UACGUAGGGCGCAAGCGUUGUCCGGAAUUAUUGGGCGUAAAGAGCUCGUAGGCGGCCUGUUGCGUCCGCUGUGAAAUCCCGGGGCUCAACCCCGGGCCUGCAGUGGAUACGGGCUGGCUAGAGGUAGGUAGGGGAGAACGGAAUUCCUGGUGUAGCGGUGAAAUGCGCAGAUAUCAGGAGGAACACCGGUGGCGAAGGCGGUUCUCUGGGCCUUACCUGACGCUGAGGAGCGAAAGCGUGGGGAGCAAACAGG
rnacentral:rRNA from 1 species